rnacentral:rRNA from 1 species
UGAGGAAUAUUGGUCAAUGGACGAGAGUCUGAACCAGCCAAGUAGCGUGCAGGAUGACGGCCCUAUGGGUUGUAAACUGCUUUUGUUUGGGAAUAAUCGACAUUACGUGUAAUGUUUUGCAUGUACCAUUCGAAUAAGGACCGGCUAAUUCCGUGCCAGCAGCCGCGGUAAUACGGAAGGUCCAGGCGUUGUCCGGAUUUAUUGGGUUUAAAGGGAGUGUAGGCGGUUGGUUAAGCGUGUUGUGAAAUGUAGAUGCUCAACAUCUGACUUGCAGCGCGAACUGGCUGACUUGAGUACACACAACGUAGGCGGAAUUCAUGGUGUAGCGGUGAAAUGCUUAGAUAUCAUGAAGAACUCCGAUUGCGAAGGCAGCUUACGGGAGUGUUACUGACGCUUAAGCUCGAAGGUGCGGGUAUCGAACAGG